rnacentral:tRNA from 1 species
GCUGGGUUGGUCUAGUGGUUUCCCCUGUCGGGAGCCGCAAAUGACAGGGGCCUGUGGAGCCCUUAACGCGAGUUCGAUUCUCGCACCCGGCC